AGUAGUCCGGGAAGAGCAGAGCGCACCUCCUCCUCCUCGCUUGCCUGUGUGGGAGGGAUGAGGACCCUUCGGAUGGGGUUCAGAGAAGAGUCACGAAGAUGGCUGAUGGCACGGUUGAAAGUAAGACCUCUGAGAACAGUCCCGAAGAACCGGGGAUGCUGAGCAGGGGGUGAAGUCUACCUGAUGCAGCAACUUAGGCUAUCUUUUCCGUACAUUUAUAGGGACUCUUACACCGCCACGUUCUGCUCAGUCAUGUCCCAUACUGAACAGCAGGCAAGGUGGGUUAUUCAGCUUAGAAAUAUGUGUGAGAGGAAAAGUGAAAUUUUGUUCUUCAACCAAGGAAAAAUUGGCAGGGACCUGAGAGACAAACUAGCUCGGCCUUCCUGUGAAGACAUAGCUCUCUCACGUUCUUAACAAGUGGUCAGCACGUUACUUUCUGUGCUUCCUCUAACUCAGGAUGGGGCGGUGGGGAGGGGGCAUUCACUCUGGUUUACUUCUGUUGAGCAGGUCUUCUUUCCAUCCCAUAUGUACACCCCAGACUCCUCUUUCCCUCGGUACGUUUGCCAGAAGAAGCGCUUCCCACCUGGAAUGCCUGCCAAUUUGACUUACUCUUCCAGGUCCCGUAUCUCCAUUGCCUUUCUCUACACAACCUGCAAAUAGUAGUUUUCCCAUCUUAUCUUCCUGAAGAGUGUGGCAUUCCUAGAAGUGUCCGUAGUUUCCUCCUUCAGUGCAAGGGUGGGCAGAGUCAGUGUCAUAAUCUAGGUGGGGGUUAGAGGGAAGUGUCUGGUUUGACAUCUUCCCCUCCAGAUGCUGGUAUGCCACCCUCUUGAGAAUCACUAUUUUAUAGCAGCUAAUAUUUUCAUCUUCUUAGCUUUAUUUAUUGUUAUUGCUUAAACGUUUGUUUAUUUUCAUUUAUUUUAAGUAGGCUCCACACCCAGGGUGGAGGCCAGCAUGGGGCUUGAACUCAUGACCCAUGAGAUCAAGAGUCAGAUGCUCAACCAGUGGAGCCACCUAGGCGCCUCUCAUCUUUGCUGUAGAUGGUGUACUAGUUAUUUUGUUUCCUAUUGCCUUUUUUGCCAACGAGGUUUUAAGCACUCUAAGCAUAUGGAAACUUGGCCGGCAUCUCUGUAAUGCCCAGUAUUGAUCAUGGAGUGAAUAUGCAGUCAUCAAUGCCUAAUGGCCAAAGGACCACCUGUUUCUUUCUCAAGACCGUUACGGAAGGCUGUUACUUAUAUAAAUCUGAUAUUAAGUUGGCGCAGAUACUAAAUAAUUAACAUUUUGUAGUUUUAAGAUGGCAGAAAGCCAAGUGUUGGGGGUCUAAUUCAUUCAGAUGUCAUCUUAGAAACCUCCUUUAUAAGACUUCUAACCUUCGCCAUUCAAAGUGUAAUCUACAGGUGAUGCUGACGCUAUCACCUGGAAGCUUCUUAAAAUGGAGACUCUGAGGCCCCACAUCAGACCUACUGAAUCAGAAUCUGCAUUGUUAACAGGAUCCCCAGCUGUGCUGUAUUAUGCACAGGAAAGUUUGGGAAACAACGUUUUAACCUCCCAGAAUUCAGAUAUUUAGGAGGAGCAUUUAUUGUCAAAGUGAAGUAAGUCUGGAAAGGAAGAUUCCUUGGUCUGUGGAUGAGCUCCCCAGUGCUCUCUGCAGGGUGGCCUGAUACUAUCCUGCGUCAUGCCGGAGCUUCCAGGCCAGAAGAUGCCUCUGGAGGAGAGUCCUGGACUCCUUUAAGUGGGUGAUACUCACGUGUCAGACGUGAAGGUGAUUACAGGAAUUUGAAGCAGUUGCUGGAGUGAGAAGCCAGGAGAGCUUGGCAGAGGCAGAAAAACAUGGCCUACAACCUAAAACGGAAAAUAAUGGAAGAUGUCUUACCUUUAUAAUAGGAAACCACUUCCGACGCUGUGGGCUUGGAUUCAUCCGAAACUCUGAUGCCUCCAGAGCCAGCACGUCACAAAUAAAACCAGCUGGAUGUGCUGUGCGUGGAGACCUUGUGGUGAUGAGGGUCAUGGGGGCAUCCGUCCUCCGAGGGGAAGGUGGGGUUGCGCUAGGCUCGCUCAGUUGUUGUCACGUGGGAAUUUGAGUCCAGUAUGGCCGCAUCUUCACAUUUUUCAAAUGAAGCUAAAAAUGUAAGUUUGUAUGUAAAACAUCUCUUGAGUGGUAAUUAAAAUGUUUUGAGAACAGCACAGGCCAAACAAAAUUUAUAUGCUGCCUGCAUCUGUUUUACGACUCUUGUUCUGGAGCAACAGAACCUGUGAGACGGUAUCCAUGCCAGGCCUGUGCAGUGCGGGGCACUGAACACAGGCAGAGGUGAUUUGGCCUUGAUAGAGACCAUUUUGGAUCUUUAUUAAGUUAAAAAAAAAAAAAAAAA
rnacentral:lncRNA from 1 species